UACGUAGGGUGCAAGCGUUAAUCGGAAUUACUGGGCGUAAAGCGUGCGCAGGCGGUUAUGCAAGUCAGAUGUGAAAUCCCCGGGCUUAACCUGGGAACCGCAUUUGUGACUGCAUAGCUGGAGUACGGCAGAGGGGGAUGGAAUUCCGCGUGUAGCAGUGAAAUGCGUAGAUAUGCGGAGGAACACCGAUGGCGAAGGCAGUCCCCUGGGCCUGUACUGACGCUCAUGCACGAAAGCGUGGGGAGCAAACAGG
rnacentral:rRNA from 1 species